rnacentral:lncRNA from 1 species
UAUCAUAAGGGGUGUUUUGAAAAUGUGCCGUGUAAGUGUAGCACUAUCCAUUUUGGAAUAUGUUAAAAGCCACCCCCAUAUAUUAAUUUUACUUUUUUUUUUUAAUUUUUAAAAUGCAAUUUUCUACUGUAUAAAUAUGUGAAGACUGGUGAGCUCAUAGAGUCAACAACCUAGGUCACAACCGAGGUAGUCUUUAUUUCAUUGAACAACAAUGAUGUUCUUUGUUUGUAAUGAAUAUGGUCUGGUCUUGAGCAAGCCUGCAACUCAUGACUUCCACAAUUUUUGCAUCUCAAACGAGGGUGAUGAUGAUGACGAUAAUGGUGUCAUUGAUGUGGCUCCAGCUGCAUAGGAAUUUGGCAAUAUAUAUAUAUAUAUAUAUCAGUAGAUGAGUGGGAAGAACUGAGGAAUAAUGCAGAUAUAGUUUUAGUCAGUGUAAGCUUCUGUAGUCUUGUUUGUUGCUGAAAAUUUGUGUUUGGAAUUACUGGGUAGUGUUUAUGCUUGCAACUGAUAUAAUAUAUUUUUUAUUUGUCUUCAAUUCCUCCUUCUCUCUCUCUUUCUCUGACUCAAUUUUAAUUACAUCUAACUUUUUCAUGUCUUUCACUUUAUAUAUGAUCAUGAAUGAUUAAACACACACAUGCUCAUAAUGUUGAAAGAAUGCAAGCAUUUGUUUUUUUAAUGAACUUAACUAUGAUCUCUCUCUCUCUCUCUCUAUAUAUAUAUAUAUAUGUAUAUAUAUAUAUAUAUAUAUACACACACAUACAUGAAUUUUCUGUGUGUACCUUCAAGUUCUCUUUUUUAGUACUAUGGCUGACAGAAUCAUAUUCAAGAAACAUAAAACAAGCUUUUUAAGUGAAGAAGAAAUUAAAAAUGUUAGCUUUAGCUUCCUUAUCUCCAGUGAGGGACCAUUUUCAACCACAAAAGAGAAGCCAAGCACCUUUUAAACAAAAUAUUUCAAAUGUGGUUGAUCUGUCUAUAUUGAUAGUAUAUCCUCAUCUUCUAUGCCUUUUUAAUUGUGUAAAAAAUAUGUUUUUUUUUUCAUUGUUUUCUGCUUUUACUUCUCAGCACACACACAAAAGCUUUUUAUUGCUUAAAAAUCUCCAAAUAAGAGAAAAAGUCAAAGAGACAUUGCAGAUUUGUUUGGCGUAUAUAUAAAUCUUACGUUUCAGAAAAGACUGAAACAAUUAUAUAUUGCAGAAGCAAAGUAGCCCACCAAAACAACAAAGUAACCAAGUUGCACUUGUAGUAACUGCAAAACAGUGUUUAGAAAGCAUAAAAUAUGCACUGAUAAUGUUCUUUUUAUGUAUAUUUUUUACUAAACCAGCCCAAUGGUUCUGCCCAAUUUGAGUUUGGGCCAAGUGUUUACAGCAAUUUUAGCUCAAUUAAUAGCUUAAAAAAAACAAAGUUUUGAGAUUUGACUGAAGCUGGUCAAUGAUUGAACACAGUUCAAUCUAUUUAAUCAUAUUUAUAUAUUGAUGUAACAAGUAAUCCUUUAUCUUUAUUAUUUUUUAAGAAAAAAAGAGUGUAAAUGAACAUUUAUCUAAAAAUGGAUUUGAAAGUAUGGAGAAAAACAUUAAAUGUGGGCAUUAAAUUGGUAUGUGAUUUGCAAACACAAGUGGGUAAUGAGAAAUUUCUAUCAAAUUUCGAUUUGGUUGGUUAUGAUGUAUCUUUAUCACUUGGGACCAUCCCCAUCUUCCCAUACCAAUUUCAAUUUAGGUUUGAAACUUUAAAGAUGAAAUUGUCAACAAAAUAGACAUGAGAGGAAACUAAAUUAUCUAUUUAGUUUGUAUAAUGAAGUGACCUUGGAGUUCUUCCUUUCUUUGCAGCUUCUGCAAUCAGUACAAUAAACAUGAAAAUUAGGCACUAGUAAAACAAAACUACUGUUAGGAGUUUAGACCAAGAACAUGAUACAAAUGACAUCAAUCUGCCCCCUAUGAAUAUGAUUGUGGCAGCUCAAAGUUACAGAGACGAGGAAGACAUCAGACCUCCAACAUUUUUACUACCAUUACCUUAAUAGAGGAUCCAUUGUGGAUGAAACAUCCUUUUAAAAUAGUAAGAUUGAAGGAACACUCAUUAUGGCUUCUUGCUAGGCACCAUUUACUACCAUUACACAUUUACCCGAAUCAACCUUUUAGAUCAGUCAACCAGAGAUAAAUUGAUUACAAAAAAUAAUUUUCUUUGAGAUUGGAAUUGGAAUUUACAAAUCAUGAUGUUAAAUCUAAAAUGGGUUAAAUUUUACUAAGAAAACACAAAAUAGGGUUCUAGGAGAAGAUACCACAGGCUUCUGGUUGAGUUUAUCAAGGAGGAGGUUCACCGGAGGUCUUUCACUUUUAUAUAGUGCUCUAAUUUUUCAUUUCUGUCCAAUGUGGGACAUAGACUCACACUUGGAAUCCCAACACUUCUAAAUAGGAAGAAAUUACUUGACUAAGUUUCUAGAAAUCUUAGGCGAAGACAAAUGACUCCAUGUGCUUCGUGAAUACACAACCGAACACGAAUAAACAGAAGAAGAGAAUGAGAUGAUUCGGUGUUUGGAGUGGUCUAUGAUGAACCAUCUUUAAAAAGGUUAAGCCAAUUUUAGAGAAAAGGAGCUACAGGAAGCUCUAGUUAGAUGACUUUAAAAGAUUAAUUUCUAGGGUAAUCUCAAUAGCAUUUCAUUAACUUUCAAGAAUAUUUUUUUCAAGAAUAUUUUUUACAAGUAAUGGAGGUUUCUAUUUAUAAGAACCAAGACCUCCAAAUUCUCGAUAAACUGAAUUCCCUCACAUGCUUCUAUGUUCGCAAUGCAAAUAUAGGAUCAAGAGACAUUAUCAUCUCAUACAUUUCAUGCUUUUACAUCAUAUGAUUAAUGUAUUCAAUAUGAGGUGUUAUGAAAUGAUGGAUCGACCUCAUGCAUGUAGCUUGGUAGCUCGACAAUCAUAGAAGAACGACAACAUAGAUUGACAUCAUAGUAUACAUAGAAGCUUGACAUCUUAGCAUAUAGUUCGGUAAGCAUCAUAGAAACUUGACAGAUAGUAUGACAACUUGUCAAUCAACGUGGAAGCUCGACUGACGAUAUGACAGCUCGACAGCUCGACAGUCAAUGUGGAAGCUUGACUAGCAGUAUAAACAAUUCCACAGGUAACAUGGGAACUCAAUAGGCAACAUGAGAGCUCAAGGGGUAGCAUGAGAGCUCGACAAACAACAUGAGAACUCGGUAUCACCAGUCCAACAUGAAGCAUGGUCCAAAAAUACAAAGCCCAAAAUGUGAAAGAAAAAACUAUACAAUUCAUUUCCUCAAAUUAUUUAUAUAUAUAAAAUAACAAGGAAAUUAAAGUUGGGACUAAUCAUGAACCCAUGUUGUAAGCCCCUACGUGAUUGUCAUCAUUCCUUCCCUCG